rnacentral:rRNA from 1 species
AUGUAAGUUUUUGCAUGAAUUUUUAUUUAUUUUAAUAAUAAUUAAAUUUUAUAAAAAUCUCAGUAAUUAAUUUUAUUAAUCAAGGAAACUUGGAAUUAGUAAUUUCAUUUAGUAUUGACUAAAUUUGUGCCAGCAGUCGCGGUUAUACAAAUAAUACAAAUAAAAUUUAUUUAGUGUAAGUUAAUUUUUUAUUAUAAUAUAAAAUAUAUUUAAAUUUAUUAGGUGGAAUUUUAAAUUUAUAAAUUUUUAUUAAAUUAAUAUUGAAGCUUGAAAAUUUUAUUAUUAAACUAGGAUUAGAUACCCUAUUAUUUAAAAUGUAAUUUAAAACAUUAAGGUAGUAAUAGUUAUGUUCUUGAAACUUAAAAAAUUUGGCGGUAUUUUAGUCUAUUCAGAGGAACCUGUUCUGUAAUUGAUAAUCCACGAUGACCUCACUUAAAUCUGUUUUUCAGUUUAUAUACCGUCGUUAUCAGAAUAUUUUAUUAGAAUAAUAAUUUUCUGUAAUUUUUAUUAAAAUUUAUAUCAGAUCAAGGUGUAGCUUAUAUUUAAGUAGAAAUGGGUUACAAUAAAUUUAUUUAAAUGAAUCUAAAUUUUCAAUGUUUAGUGAAAGUGGAUUUGAUAGUAAAAUUUUAAAGAUUAAAGGUUUGAUUUUAGUUCUAAAAUAUGCACACAUCGCCCGUCGCUCUUAUUAUUAAGGUAAGAUAAGUCGUAACAUAGUAGAUGUA